rnacentral:rRNA from 1 species
GACGAACGCUGGCGGCGUGCUUAACACAUGCAAGUCGAACGGUGAAGCGCCUUCCUUUUUGGUGGGUGUGGAAGAGGGGCGAACGGGUGAGUAACACGUGAGUAACCUGCCCCCUUCUUCUGGAUAACCGCAUGAAAGUGUGGCUAAUACGGGAUAUUCUGGGUCUGUCGCAUGAUGGGUCUGGGAAAGAUUGUGUUUCGGUGGGGGAUGGGCUCGCGGCCUAUCAGCUUGUUGGUGGGGUGAUGGCCUACCAAGGCGGUGACGGGUAGCCGGCCUGAGAGGGUGGACGGCUGCGCUGGUGCUGAGCCACGGCGGGGCCGCCUACUGGACGCGGCAGUGGGGAGUGUUGGACGAUGGGAGUAAGCCUGAAGCAGCGACGCCGCGUGGGGGAUGGAGGCCUUGGGGUUGUGAACCUCUUUCGCCAGUGAAGCAGGCCUGCAUCGUUUGUGGGUGGGUUGACGGUAGCUGGAGAAGAAGCGCCGGCUAACUACGUG